AUACGGAGGGUGCAAGCGUUAAUCGGAAUUACUGGGCGUAAAGAGUACGUAGGUGGUUUAUUAAGUCAGAUGUGAAAGCCCCGGGCUUAACCUGGGAACUGCAUUUGAUACUGGCAAACUAGAGUAUGGGAGAGGCGGGUAGAAUUCCUAGUGUAGCGGUGAAAUGCGUAGAUAUUAGGAGGAAUACCAGUGGCGAAGGCGGCCCGCUGGACCAAUACUGACACUGAGGUACGAAAGCGUGGGUAGCGAACAGGAUUAGAAACCCUAGUAGUCC
rnacentral:rRNA from 1 species